rfam:Ovis aries breed Texel chromosome 1, whole genome shotgun sequence.
UCCCUCAUGGCUAAGUGGUAAAGAAUCUGCCUGCCAAUGCAGGAGACAUGGGUUCAAUCCCUGAUCUGGGAA